GGUGUUUAAGGAAAGGUUGGAUGUGGUGCUUAGGGACAUAGUUUAGUGGGUGAUAUUAGUGGUAAGGGGAUGGUUGGACCAGAUGAUCUUGGAGGUUUUUUCCAACCUUAAUGAUUCUAUGAAAAGGAGCUCCUUUUAACAGAGGAAAAUUGACUGAUAAAGAUAAGUCCACUAUCUAUCCUGUGCAGCAGUAGCUAGAAAAUUUCACUGAAAGAAGAGGGACUAAACAAGGUACAUAAAUAUAUCUCCUUCCCAUUCCUUCCCCCGAGAGCCUUCUGCAUGCUCAUGAUCUAAAUGCCAGAUUGUAUACAGUCUAUUUCUAUGGGAGGAAGAGCAGGAAAGAACCUUGCAUAAGGGCUGGGAACAACUGUUGCUUUUAUGAGUUAGACUUCUCCUGGGAGGACCCAUUAUCUCCAGGGAGCUUUAUAUCAUGCACUGUUUCCCUACUAGAGCCAUCGUAGCUAGGAAAGCAGUCAAGAGGGUCCAGCCAGAUGGCAGUGGGACAUCCCAGAAUGCAUAAAGUCAUGACCACAGACUCCUCUGGCCACAACUCUUUUGCUAGCCACGGCAUGGCUGUUCCUGGAUCCUGCUGACUACUCCAAAUGUGUGAUAAACUCUUGUGUUUAUCAAGGGUUCAAGCAGGCGCAGUUUUUACCACUAUUCUGUGAUCCUCAGAGUGCUUCUUUGAUCGUCUCUGUACCAAGACUGGAAGCUCAAGCACAUCCAAUAGGGUGCCUCUGAGUCUAUCAAACACCUAUGUUAUCUAUACAUAGAUGUGCUACUUGCCAAACACACAGAGCACAAACUGCAGUAGGUAUGAUUUAUAUGCUUUUCUACAUUACUUCUCCUCAGACUUCACGCAUUCCCAGCUUCAAGGUAACUAAAGUAUAUUUACAAUACUCCUUGACAGUCUAUCACUUUUAACAUAUUCUUUCUAACAGAGGUGCUCUAGCCCUCUGAUCAUCUUUGUGGCCCUCCUCUGGACCUGUUCUAACAGGUCCACAUCUUUCUUGUGCUGGGGGCCCCAGACCUGGAUGCAGUGUUCCAAGUUGGGCCUCACCAGGGCAGAGUAGAGGGGAACGGACACCUCCCUCGAGCUGCUGAAUACACCUCUGUUGAUGCACAGGUGAACAGAUUAAUAUAUGUGUUAUUAGUUACAUAGAAAAUUGAAAUUACACAUUAGUUGUGUUUGCAUUUUAGAAGUCAGGAAAUGACAAGUUUUGUGGAAGCUGACAAAGUGAGAUGUAAAUUAUCUUCUUUGGGAAUGGCUUGUAUUGCACCUUGACAAAACCCUUGCUUGUCUGUGUGCAGUGUAGAUGUUCCCACAGGAUCACUCUGGCCCAAGGAAGGUCCCGUCCCCCAGAAAAUAUCACCUCUGCACUCCCUCUUGAGAGAUAACAAUGACUUGAAUCUGCAGAAUUUGACACCAAUCCUGGCCAUGCCAUUUCCAUUUUGGCUGUGCCAAUGUGUAUCCUUUUCAGUGCAUGUCUCUGAAGACUACCCAGGUUAGCUAUGAUGGAGAACUUCAUAAGCACCCACAGCUGGAAGCUGAUUUGACAGCAAUGAGAGAGAUCUAUGGACCUAAUGCAGUAUCUCUCAGGUAUGUCGUUUACCCUUCCUAUUGUGGAACCUUUAACAUUUUGGAGGUUGAGUUUCAUGUAGACCUUCCCUCACUGCCAAAACACAGCUCUUCUCUGAUGAAUUAUGCAUAUUGUGGCAAAAGGAAGGAGCACUCUUAGGUAGCAGUAAUACUCGAUUUGUUUUCAUUUUGUGACUGAGUACUCAUACAAAUGCCUAUGCUGAGAACAGACCCUGGAAGCCUGUUCUAAAAUGUUGUCUUUUGUAGUUCAGUAAGUAUUUGAUCAGUCCAUUGUAUUUUGAUGAAAAUUCCUAUUCAACAUUACUUUAAACCUUUGUUAAUCUCUUUCUCUGUCAUAUUCUGUCUUCUGCCCUGGAGGUAAACAAGAAGAAUGAUAAGAGAUUUAGUAAAUGUUGUCCCUAGAGGAAGACUGAAGGACUUGGACUUGUCUAAUAUGGAAAAAAGACAGAUGGAGAGGACAUAGUAACAGCUCUUCUUCAAAAAAGCUGUUUAUAGAUAGGAGUGAUCAACUGUUCUCUGUUGUCAUGAGAGAGACAAUAAGAAACUAACUUUGAUAGCAACAAACAAGAAUUUGGUUAGAUUGUAGAAAAGCUUUGUAAUUGUAAAAAAGUGGGAAACUGAAUUGUCCUACACAGGGAAAUGGUGGAACUUUGGUCAGAGGUGGAUUGCAAAGAGAAAUUACACAAAAAUUUAUGAGUGUGCAUGAUUCUGCAGCAGGGCAUAACUGUACGAUGCACUUAAUUUGCUUCAAGUAUUUUUUAAACUUUUCCACCUAUGUAAUAUUAAUAAUUGAAUAAAAAUAAAAGGUAAGUUGUAACAAACCUGUCAGAAGCAUUACAAAUAAAUUAUCAAAAUUGUCAUACAAGCCAAGUAACAAAAUACAGAGAAGAUGAUAACCUUAGGCAUACACAUAUUGCAUGUAACAAUUCCCAUUAACCUCUACACAAUAGCCUCUGUUAUUUUAGUCUGAGAGAGCACAUCUACAACUAUGGUGUACUAUGCCUUUUGAAAUUAAAUAGAAAUUCAUUACAUUUGGAGGACCUGGGGAAUUAAAAUCCAAAUAGCUGUGUAUGGGUUUAGGAAAUGAAUGUGUUAUAAAUGGCUCAGUCUUCAAAAUAGGAUUAAAUAAA